rnacentral:rRNA from 1 species
UCGAGCGAUGAAGUUCUUCGGAAAUGGAUUAGCGGCGAACGGGUGAGGAACACGUGAAGAAUCUGCCCUCACUUUGGGAUAACACCGGGAAACCGGUGCUAAUACUGAAUAUUGAAACAUAAGUGGCAUCACUGAGUUUUGAAAGAAUUUCGGUGGAGGAUGACUCCGCGGCCUAUCAGCUAGUUGGUGAGGUAAUGGCUCACCAAGGCAACGGACGGGUAGCCGGCCUGAGGAGGGCGAACGGUCACACUGGGACUGAGACACGGCCCAGACUCC